rfam:Dipodomys ordii contig_9555, whole genome shotgun sequence.
GGUGGCUCAGUGGUAGAGCAUUUGCCUUGCAUGCAUGAGGCCCUGGGUUCGAUUCCUAAGGACCA